AAACUUUUCACAAUCAUUCGCAUUCAAGUUCAUUCAUGGUAACUCUUAUUAGGGAACCUCUUCCUUUCUUCCUUCCUUCCUAUUUCAUCAGCGAUUGUAUCUUUUUGAUCAAAGCUUCUUCCCCUCUCCAUUACUUCACUUCAUCAACUUUGCACAAACAUGUAUCAUUCUCUACUCAAGCUUUUAUCUUUAGAGUUUUCUAUUUUCUAGCCAAGAUGAAUGAUAUAGCCUUGCCCACGUAGCGAGUUAUUC
rnacentral:lncRNA from 1 species